rnacentral:rRNA from 1 species
GUCGAGGAUCUUUUGCAAUGGGCGCAAGCCUGACAAAGCGACGCUGCGUGGAGGAUGAAGGCCUUCGGGUCGUAAACUCCUGUCAUUCGGGAACAAUAUCCCGGCCAUGAAUAGUGGCUGGGCUUGAUGGUACCGGAAGAGGAAGCCACGGCUAACUCUGUGCCAGCAGCCGCGGUAAUACAGAGGUGGCGAGCGUUGUUCGGAUUUACUGGGCGUAAAGGGUGCGUAGGUGGCUCUGUGUGUCGGAUGUGAAAUCCCACGGCUCAACUGUGGAACUGCAUCGGAAACUACAGAGCUUGAGUGCAGGAGGGGAGAGCGGAAUUCUCAGUGUAGCGGUGAAAUGCGUUGAUAUUGAGAAGAACACCGGUGGCGAAGGCGGCUCUCUGGAAUGCAACUGACACUGAGGCACGAAAGCUGGGGGAGCAAACAGGAUUAGAAACCCCAGUAGUCC